UAGUUACAGUCAUAGAUCCUGUUGUGGAUAUGGGUUUGACCAUGGAUGGAAUGGGAACCAGAUUUUUAUACAGAUGAGUUAUAUGCCUGAGAUAAUGUAUUGAUAUAUAUUGUCCAGGUUCAUUAUGUGACGGAUUAUGUGAUUGCUGCUCUGACAGGUAGUGUGUUGUAUGUAUUGAGAUAAUCCUGACAGGUCACUAUAGAAAAAGUGAUCAUUUUGUGCAUGCAUCAUGCCAAAUUUUUCAAGAUUUAUUGAUGAUUGAUAGGUAGUAGGGUUCUACGCGGUGGCUGGUGGCCUUAUGCCUACCCGCACCCUAGGACCGUUGCGGCGGCCCGCCGGGAACGGGGCGGGGGUCGUGACAAAGCUUGGUAUCAGAGCAAAGGUUAAGAAGAGUCCUGUCAGAGCAAUAGGAUGAGUCAGGAUUAAGUAUAGGAUUAUACUAUGGAGCAUAGGAUUUUUCUGUAUAUUAAUUUAUGAGUC
rnacentral:lncRNA from 1 species